AUAACAAAAUCCUAAUUCUAAUAGAAUACUAACAAUACUCUAAUUAGACCAUAAUAAUGCUAAGCAAGCUUAAUCAAAUUCAAAAAAACCUCAAAGAAAAUUCAAAUAAAUAAUAAGAAUUCUUAAAGAAAUAUUAGAAAGAUCACAAAUAUCACUCAAAUACAUCUCAAUUCAAUCUUAAUUUAAUUCUUCUUAAAAUCCUAUUGAACUUCAUUCAAACUUUAGGCCAAAACUAAUUGAAUCUUAAAUCCUAAUAAAAUCCUAAAUCCUAAAUCAAAUCCUAAACAAACCUUAAAUCAAAUCUCAACCAAAUCUUAAAUCAAAUCCUAACCGAAUCCUAAAUCCUAAAUCAAACCCUAACCAAAUCCUAAUCAAAAUCCUAAACCCUAAACCAAACCCUAAUAAAACCUUAAAUCCUAAAUCCUAAACUAAACCCUAAUUCAAAUCCUAAAUCCUAAACCAAAUCCUAAAUCCUAAACAAAUCCUAACUAAAUCCUAUACCAAAUCCUAAAUCCUAAAUCAAACCCUAAUCCAAAUCCUAAACCCUAAACCAAAUCCUAACCGAAUCCUA
rnacentral:lncRNA from 1 species